rnacentral:rRNA from 1 species
CACGUAGGGUGCGAGCGUUGUCCGGAAUUAUUGGGCGUAAAGAGCUCGUAGGCGGUGUGUCGCGUCGGCCGUGAAAACCUGCAGCUUAACUGUGGGCUUGCGGUCGAUACGGGCAUCACUGGAGUUCGGCAGGGGAGACUGGAAUUCCUGGUGUAGCGGUGAAAUGCGCAGAUAUCAGGAGGAACACCGGUGACGAAGGCGGGUCUCUGGGCCGAUACUGACGCUGAGGAGCGAAAGCGUGGGGAGCGAACAGG